GAUGAACGCUGUCAACAGGCUUAACACAUGCAAGUCGAGGGGAAACGACGGGGAAGCUUGCUUCCCCGGGCGUCGACCGGCGCACGGGUGAGUAACGCGUAUCCAACCUGCCUCUGACUGAGGGAUAACCCGUCGAAAGUCGGCCUAAUACCUCAUGGCAUCGUCUGCGGGCAUCCAACGACGAUUAAAGAUUUCAUCGGUCAGUGAUGGGGAUGCGUCUGAUUAGCUUGUUGGCGGGGUAACGGCCCACCAAGGCUACGAUCAGUAGGGGUUCUGAGAGGAAGGUCCCCCACAUUGGAACUGAGACACGGUCCAAACUCCUACGGGAGGCAGCAGUGAGGAAUAGUGGUCAAUGGGCGGGAGCCUGAACCAGCCAAGUAGCGUGCAGGAUGACGGCCCUAUGGGUUGUAAACUGCUUUUAGGCGGGGAUAAAGUGAGGGACGUGUCCUUCAUUGCAGGUACCGCAUGAAUAAGGACCGGCUAAUUCCGUG
rnacentral:rRNA from 1 species